rnacentral:lncRNA from 1 species
UAUAUAUAUCGGAUAACAAAAAUAUCUUUAUAAAGUUCAACUUUCCAUAUUCAUCUCAGCAAAAGUCCAGUAAUAUUCAUAUUUUUUCCUCUGAUUAAUAAUCGAUAAGGUACUAUUUAUUUUUUAACAGGAGAUAUGUAAAACGAUAUUUUUAUCAUCAUAAAUUUUUUUCUCCAAAAGCCCCAUAGAAUUAUAUAGAAAUAUCCUUCAAAAAAUUUUCAACAAUUAUUUUUUUCUUUCUACCAUCACAAAUAAUAUGAAAUAGAUAAAAAAAAUAAUUUUUCUCAUUUACUAACAUGGAUUACUUAUUUUAUCUAUAGUUAACUAUAUUUUUCUAAUAGAUCCUAACAGCAAUGAUAUAUUUGAAAAUAUUAAAAUUUUAUAAAAAGUGAGGAAAAACUUCAAACACCAUCCUUGUGAUUUCGUACUUUCUUAUUUUAAUACCCUGUGGUUUAAAGUGUAUCAAUUUAAUACACUAUGAUUUUAUUUUUCUCUUUUUAUUAUCUCUUUCACUAACUUUUUUUUUGUUAAAUCAAUGACAAAGUUAAAACUAAAAAAUACUAAAGUGAAUAUUCGAUAAACGUAAGUGGGUAUCUGAAUUUUUUUGUAUAUAAUUUAACGAAAUGUUAACUGAGGAGUUGACGAAAAGAAAAAAAUGAAACCACAUGGUGCUAAAUUGACACACUUUAAACUAUAGAGUACUAAAGCGAGAAAGUACGAAACAAUAGAAAUAAUAUUUAAAGUUUACUCUAAAAUGAUAUUUAAAGAUUGCCCUAAACAUAAAUAUUAAAAAUUAAAUUUAUAAAAUUUAUAUAUAUAUUUAUAGGGAACUAUAAUGCAAUUAACACAUUUUCCCCAACAAGCGUACAAGUGCAAAACGAUCGAAAGUUGUGACUGUAAGGCUCUGUUUAGUUCGGAAAUUAGUAAGAACUAGUUAUACCGAAAAUAGAUACCAGGAUGGAUUUUUGUAAGAACAAAUGUAUUUUUUUUGGAUAAAAAUGUGAGUAUAAGCUGGAACUAGAAAAAUUAUGUUUGAAUGAAAAUGUGAGUAUAAGGUGGAAUAGUUGAUAGUUAUAAAUAAAAAAUAAUGAUAUUAUCCCUAUAAUUGAAUUUAAAUUUUUAAACUUAUAAAUUUAAAUUGAAAAUUUUAACUUUUAAAUUUUAAAAUUUGAAAUUAAAAUUUAAAAUUUUAAUUUUCAAAAUUUUAAUUUUAAAUAUUAAAUUUUAAAUUUAAGAUCAAAUUUAAAUUUGAAAAAUAUAAAAUAUCAAAUUUAAAAUUUAAAAACUAAAAAUAUUAAAUUUAAAAUUUAAAAAUUAAAAAUAUCAAAUUUAAAAUUUAAACUUUAAACUUUAAAAUUAUAAAUUUAAAUUUUAGAAAUUUAAAUUUUUUAAAAAAUAUUUCUCUCUCUC